CUUUCUUGCUGACGAGUGGCGGACGGGUGAGUAAUGCUUGGGAAUCUGGCUUAUGGAGGGGGAUAACGACGGGAAACUGUCGCUAAUACCGCGUAGUGUCGAGAGACGAAAGUGCGGGACUGAGAGGCCGCAUGCCAUAGGAUGAGCCCAAGUGGGAUUAGGUAGUUGGUGGGGUAAAGGCCUACCAAGCCUGCGAUCUCUAGCUGGUCUGAGAGGAUGACCAGCCACACUGGAACUGAGACACGGUCCAGACUCCUACGGGAGGCAGCAGUGGGGAAUAUUGCGCAAUGGGGGGAACCCUGACGCAGCCAUGCCGAGUGAAUGAAGAAGGCCUUCGGGUGUAAAGUUCUUUCGGUAUUGAGGAAGGUUGAUGUGUUAAUAGCACAUCAAAUUGACGUUAAAUACAGAAGAAGCACCGGCUAACUUCGUGCCAGCAGCCGCGGUAAUACGGAGGGUGCGAGCGUUAAUCGGAAUAACUGGGCGUAAAGGGCACGCAGGCGGUUAUUUAAGUGAGGUGUGAAAGCCCCGGGCUUAACCUGGGAAUUGCAUUUCAGACUGGGUAACUAGAGUACUUUAGGGAGGGGUAGAAUUCCACGUGUAGCGGUGAAAUGCGUAGAGAUGUGGAGGAAUACCGAAGGCGAAGGCAGCCCCUUGGGAAUGUACUGACGCUCAUGUGCGAAAGCGUGGGGAGCAAACAGGAUUAGAUACCCUGGUAGUCCACGCUGUAAACGCUGUCGAUUUGGGGGUUGGGGUUUAACUCUGGCGCCCGU
rnacentral:rRNA from 1 species